rnacentral:tRNA from 2 species
GUCUCAGUAGCUCAGCUGGAUAGAGCAUACGCCUUCUAAGCGUACGGUCGGGGGUUCGAAUCCCUCCUGGGACGUCA